rnacentral:rRNA from 1 species
AACGAACGCUGGCGGCAGGCUUAACACAUGCAAGUCGAACGCGUGUAGCAAUACACGAGUGGCGCACGGGUGAGUAACGCGUGGAUAUCUGCCUUUUGGUUCGGAAUAACCCCGGGAAACUGGGGCUAAUACCGGAUGGUUCCUUCGGGAUAAAGAUUUAUCGCCAAAAGAUGAGUCCGCGUACGAUUAGCUAGUUGGUGAGGUAAUGGCUCACCAAGGCGACGAUCGUUAGCUGGUCUGAGAGGACGAUCAGCCACACUGGGACUGAGACACGGCCCAGACUCCUACGGGAGGCAGCAGUGGGGAAUAUUGGACAAUGGGGGCAACCCUGAUCCAGCCAUGCCGCGUGAGUGAUGAAGGCCUUCGGGUUGUAAAGCUCUUUUGGCGGGGACGAUGAUGACGGU